GAAUCUAAGCGGUGGAUCACUCGGGUCGAUGAAGAACGCAGCCAGCUGCGAGACUUGGUGUGAAUUGCUGGACACUCUGAGCACUGAUUCUUUGAACGCACAUUGCGGCCUUGGGUCUUCCCUUGGCUUCGUCUGUCAGAGGGUCG
rnacentral:rRNA from 1 species